rnacentral:tRNA from 1 species
GGGCAUGUGGUGUAGUUGGUUAUCACGCUCGCUUAGCAUAACUGCGUGUGCGAGAGGGGUCCGGUUCAAUCCCGGACAUGUCCA